UAGCCAGACUAGUUUAGUAAGAAACUGUAGUUCUAAAGCCAAUAAAUAUAUAAGCUGUAAAAAAGAAGCUGAACUGAGAGCAGGACUUUGGAGAGCUUUGGAAUAUUGGGCUGGGUUUAAGGAAUGACUUCUGAAAAUGGUAAGGAUACAGAAAUGUGGCAAAAGAGGUAGGAAUGAUAUUAAAGUAUCACAGUAUGCUAAAGGCAUGGUGCCAUACACCGAUACCAGAUUCGGAAUCCUUGAAGAGAAUAGAAAUAAAGUAAAAGUAAAUUUUUAAUCAAGGGACGGAGGUUGUGAUAUUCACUUUCCAGCUAUCUCUGUAAAUGUAUGUGUUCUUAGUCUAGAAAGAGAAAAAAAAUAUAUAAUGGAUCUUGCACACAUUACUCCAAAACACAAGCCCCUGCUGCUAAUUCAGUAUAUUGGGCCUAAUGUGGGGUGCAUGAAUAUGCCUUCUCCUAAGGCUUUCCUCUUCUCUCGGGUGGAACUGCAUAGAUUCCAAACCCAAUAUAAGGUUUCCCUUGAUUGUAAUAACUAGAGCAGUCUACAAAGAAAGGGUAGCUUUUGAAGAAAUCUUUCUACUGAACCAAUGGUAGAAAAAGCUUCCUUUUCGCCUUCCCCCUUAAGCUCAAUUGGUCAGUAUCUGGACACACGCUCCCCUUGGAGCCACACAGAUAUGUUGUUCUAACAGGUUUCACUGCAAUAUGCUUUCCUUGCAGCAGGAAGGCCCAGUGGGCUAGGUCGGCAUUUGGGACUUAGUAUCCAAUCAGGUAAAGGAUGGGCAAGAACUGAAGGGGAGUGUGCGAUGACUGUUAUAUCAUUGGGCUGAGGCCAAUCAGGAAAGAAAAAUGUUGGAUGACCCAAUUAGUGACCAGAGCUCCUCAAGCCUUUCCAGAUGUUCCUUCUUGGUAUGGGUCACUAGACAAAGAUGCAGACAUGUAGUCCACUUAAGUGACUCGCGAGCAUACCCCAGUCUGGAAGCAGGGCUUGGAGUCUACUUCAAUAGGGAUCACAGGACCACCCUUCCGAGGUCUUGUCUGCUCUGGAAGAUGCGGUAAUAGCAUAAUGAUCCGUAAAUGGAUGGAUGGAUGACCACAUGGCCGCCCUGCAUAUGUCCAAUAUGGAAAUAUCACUGAGGAACGCUGUUGAUGUUGCUUGUGCCCUUGUGGAGAGAGCCUGCAUCUACCAAGGAGGUGUAGCCAAAGCUGUCUCAUACCCAGCCUUGAUACAGGAUGUUAUCCAUCUAGAGAUGGUCUGGGCAGAGCCCACUUAGCCCCUUCAUGCGGUCUGCAUAAGACACGAACAUGAACUGUGGGUGUGAUCACAGCAUUGCCUUAUCCUUGGAGAACUGAGGGUAAGGCGGCUCAGCCAUUAAGGUCUGCAACUCUGAUACCCUUCUUGCUGAUGCGAUGGCUAUCAAGAACAUAGUUUUCUGAGACAUGAGUGGCAGUGGGUAGGAUGCAAAGGGCUCUAAUGGAGGGCCCAUCAGAGCUGCAAGAACUGCAUGUAGGUCCCAUAAGGGAACCAGUUUUUUCGACCAGAGGAUGUAAGCGGAGAAGCCCUUUCAGAAAUCUCAUCACCAUGGCAUUGGAAAAAACUGACUUCCCUUGUAUCAGGGGAUGGUAUACGGAUAUUGCUGCCAAAUGCACCCUCAAUGAACACAAGGCCUGAUUUCCGA